rnacentral:lncRNA from 1 species
CCUUGCGUGGGGGCAGGAUAAGAGUCCUGGAGGCGGGCAUUAGGGCGCGGAUAAACGCCAUUGGAUUCAGGAGGCGGGACCCAGAGCAGAGCCCAGGAGACAGGUCUUAGGGCGGGGCUAAGGCCAGGCCCAGAGAAGGGCUCAGGAGGCGGGGCAGGGGCGGGGCGUUGACUAUGUCGUAGCACAUGGCCAGGCGGUGCGCGGACUCUGGGAGGCGAAGCUUAGGACGGGCCCACUUGGGGAGGGGCCCAGGGCCCGGGAGGCGGGGCCGAGUCCGGGCUGGGCUGCGCUCAGGAGGCGGGCCCUGGGAGGCGGAGCUUAGGGAGGGGCCGGUGUUGGGAGGGACCCAGGGACUGGGAGGCCGGUUGGGGCUGGGCUCAGGGGCCGAGACCUAGCUGGGCUUGGGGCGGGGCCGAGACGGAGCGAGGGGUCCAGGGUGUGGGAAACGGGGAGGGGUUUGAGGAGGGGAUCGGAAUGUGGCUCAAGUUCGGGAGGCGUUACCUGCGGAGGGUUUGAGGCAGGCCCAAGAGCGAGCCCAUGGUCUUCCGACGCGGGGCCAGGGGCGGGCCCCAGGAUCCGGAGCUUCGUGCGGGGCCGAGUCCAGGUUUGGGGCCCGGGAGGCGGGGCCAGUUAGGGCGACUGUCCCUGGGAUCGUCGGGUCAGGCCUUGGGCUAACGUAGGCACUCUCGCAGUUCCUCCGCCUUCAGGAAGGUCUUUUCAGCAGGGGCCUUACGGGUGCAUGCUUCGGUCCUGGAGGCCUUAUCCUAGCCUCCUCUCCAUCAGCGCCACCCGUCUGGGGCCCGAAAGGAGGGAGCUUUCCCUCUGUCCCCCAGCCUUUGGACUGUCACCAAACAAGCCAUUCGUUCAUCAAAUACUUUUUAAGCGCCUACCAUGUGCCUGACAAGGGAGAUGUAACGGUGAGAAAAACUAGGUGUGGUCCAGGCCCUUCAGGGGCUCAGGUGCUCGUGGAAGAAGUGGACAUUGAAGUACUUAUCACACAAAUGAGGAUAAAAGUACGAUAGCGAUAUCUACCACGAAGCUGUUGUUCCCCACCAGAACCAAAUGAGCGCAAGAUCUGACAAAGAAAAAAAAAGUCCCUGUAUCCUGAGAUGGAGUCACCUGAGAAUCCACAGCAAGUCCUAACCAGGGAUGGGUCUGGGUGAUUAAGGAAGGUUGGCUUCAGAACUGGGCCAGGGGCACUGCUUUGCUUUUGCUGUUUUGAUCAGCUCUCUGCCUGAAGGAGACAAGAAAAACCAACGGGAACAGCCCAGUAAAGGCGCCAUUCCCCAUUUUACAGCUGGGGAAACUGAGUUACAGAGCUUGUCUGCACUGAGUCAUCAGGAGCAAAUGCUAGAUCAGACCAACAGGUAUUCUACCAUAUAAGAAAUGUGAUGUUCUCUGUACAUUGAAGAGUUGGUCUAAUAUUUGGCCUGGUGGAUGGAGAAAUUGCCUGUCUGCUCCGCUCUGGUUGAAGAAACCAGUCUGACUGUCUCUGAGGCUAUGGAGCAGUCCAUGAAGAAUGAAAGCCCUUGGCCAGGCACAUUGGCUCACACCUGUAAUACCAGCGCUUUGGGAGGCCGAGGCAGGUGGAUCACUUGAAGUCACGAGUUUGAC